AAUGAGCUUGAUAAGCAUUUGUUUUGAAAACAUAAGAUAGAACUAUAUUCUAUUAACUUUACUAUUUUUAAUUA
rnacentral:tRNA from 1 species